AUUGAACGCUGGCGGCAGGCCUAACACAUGCAAGUCGAACGAGUGGCGGACGGGUUAGUAAUGUCUGGGAAACUGCCCGAUGGAGGGGGAUAACUACUGGAAACGGUAGCUAAUACCGCAUACCAUCGGAUGUGCCCAGGUGGGAUUAGCUAGUGGGGGGGGUAACGGCUCACCUAGGCGACGAUCCCUAGAUGGUCUGAGAGGAUGACCAGCCACACUGGAAGUGCGACCAGGCCCAGACGCCUACGGGAGGUAGAGUUGGGUAAUAUUGCACAAUGGGCGCAAGUCUGAUGCAGUCAUGCGGCGUGUAUGAUGAAGGCUUUCGGGUUGUAAAGUACUUUCAGCGAGGAGGCGUUACUCGCAGUAGAAGCGUGGGCUAACUCCGUGCCAGCCGCCGCGGUAAUAC
rnacentral:rRNA from 1 species